UACGUAGGGUGCGAGCGUUGUCCGGAAUUACUGGGCGUAAAGGGUGCGUAGGUGGUUUCUUAAGUCAGAGGUGAAAGGCUACGGCUCAACCGUAGUAAGCCUUUGAAACUGGGAAACUUGAGUGCAGGAGAGGAGAGUGGAAUUCCUAGUGUAGCGGUGAAAUGCGUAGAGAUUAGGAAGAACACCAGUGGCGAAGGCGCUUCUCUGGACUGUAACUGACGCUGAGGCUCGAAAGCGUGGGGAGCAAACAGGAUUAGAUACCCGUGUAGUCCCUGA
rnacentral:rRNA from 1 species